GAAAUGCGAUAAGUAGUGUGAAUUGCAGAAUUCAGCGAAUCAUCGAAUCUUUGAACGCACAUUGCGCCCCUUGGUAUUCCAUGGGGCAUGCCUGUUCGAGCGUCAUCUACACCCUCAAGCUCUGCUUGGUGUUGGGCGUCUUUGUCCCGCCUCCGCGCGCGGACUCGCCCCAAAUUCAUUGGCAGCGGUCCUUGCCUCCUCUCGCGCAGCACAUUGCGCUUCUCGAGGUGUUGCGGCCCGCGUCCAGAAAGCAAUCGUUACCGUCUUUGACCUCGGAUCAGGUAGGGAUACCCGCUGAACUUAAGC
rnacentral:misc_RNA from 1 species